GCGGUCGUAGCUCAGUUGGAUAGAGCACGAGAUUCCUAAUCUCGGGGUCGUGGGUUCAACUCCCUCCGAUCGCACCA
rnacentral:tRNA from 1 species